CCCGGUACAUAGUUGUGUAUUCUUCGUUGUGGGUUCUUCUAGUUGUGGCAUGUGGGACGCUGCCUCAGCGUGGUCUGAUGAGCAGUGUCGUGUCCGCGCCCAGGAUUCGAACCAACGAAACACUGGGCCACCUGCAGCGGAGCGCGCGAACUUAACCACUCGGCCAUGGAGCCAGCCCCCCCAAACCCACUUUUAUAAUCAAUUUUGCCAAUAAGAUAAGCUAUCCCUCUUCUUUUGAGGAGGAGUGGGUAGGGGGUUAAGAGAGGGGCAUAAGUUGCCUUCCUAUUCUCCCAUCCCUACCCUCCAACUAAUAUUAUUGGUAGCAGUUGCUUGUUCAACUUACUCUAAUUUAACCUACAAUAUCAAGAACAUCUGAAUUCAUAACAACUUUUUCAUAGCUAAAACCUUCAUAAUACGCUUUUUUUAUGUCCCCAAAUAUAAUUUUAAAGUAACAAACCUACUAUAAUUUAUUGGAGACUUCCAAAUAGAGCUCUUAGUCUUCAUGUUUUGUUCCUUGCCCCUUUCUCAUUCUGACUUUGCUAUUUCUCAGAUCCUCUCUGAUGUUGAAGCUUGUCUGAAUACCUGCUUCUUGGGACAGUGUGUAACUGGUCUUGUUUCUGCUGGCUUCCUGUUAAAUUUCACUUUCUAGAAAGCCUUAUAUAUUUCUGUAAGCCUCUCAACAUUGAAGGGGAUUUGACUCAUUGAUUGAUGGUUAAUUAGGUCCUUUGAAGGGAAGCUAUCCUCUAGAGCCUGAAGGUGAAGAGAGGGAAUUCUUUGGAUUCCACAUUGCUCUAUUUCUGGAUACUGGAAGAGUGGAAGUAUCUGGAUCUUGCUCAGAGGGAGCUUUGUAGGGAUGUGCUGCCUGAGAAUUACGGGAACAUAGUUUCUCUGGGGUUCAUCUUGGUCCGUGGCCUCAGGUGGUAGAAUUCUCUGUCCUGGAGCUUCAGCUCAGUCCUGACAUCAGAAGGCCAUACCAGAGAGUAAGAGUGGAUGGGCUGGGC
rnacentral:lncRNA from 1 species